UGUGAACGUUACCAAACUGUUGCCUCGGCGGGAUCUCUGCCCCGGGUGCGUCGCAGCCCCGGACCAAGGCGCCCGCCGGAGGACCAACCAAAACUCUUACUGUAUACCCCCUCGCGGGUUUUUUUAUAAUCUGAGCCUUCUCGGCGCCCCUCGUGGGCGUUCCGAAAAUGAAUCAAAACUUUCAACAACGGAUCUCUUGGUUCUGGCAUCGAUGAAGAACGCAGCGAAAUGCGAUAAGUAAUGUGAAUUGCAGAAUUCAGUGAAUCAUCGAAUCUUUGAACGCACAUUGCGCCCGCCAGUAUUCUGGCGGGCAUGCCUGUCCGAGCGUCAUUUCAACCCUCGAACCCCUCCGGGGGGUCGGCGUUGGGGAUCGGCCCUCCCUCUGCGGGGGGCCGUCUCCGAAAUGCAGUGGCGGUCCCGCCGCAGCCUCUCCUGCGCAGUAGUUUGCACACUCGCACCGGGAGCGCGGCGCGUCCACAGCCGUUAAACACCCAACUUUCUGAAAUG
rnacentral:misc_RNA from 1 species